AACGAACGCUGGCGGCAGGCUUAACACAUGCAAGUCGAACGCCCCGCAAGGGGAGUGGCAGACGGGUGAGUAACGCGUGGGAACAUACCCUUUUCUACGGAAUAGCUCUGGGAAACUGGAAUUAAUACCGUAUACGCCCUACGGGGGAAAGAUUUAUCGGGGAAGGAUUGGCGCGCGUUGGAUUAGCUAGUUGGUGGGGUAAAGGCCUACCAAGGCGACGAUCCAUAGCUGGUCUGAGAGGAUGAUCAGCCACAUUGGGACUGAGACGCGGCCCAAACUCCUACGGGAGGCAGCAGUGGGGAAUAUUGGACAAUGGGCGCAAGCCUGAUCCAGCCAUGCCGCGUGAGUGAUGAAGGCCUUAGGGUUGUAAAGCUCUUUCACCGAUGAAGAUAAUGACGGUAGUCGGAGAAGAAGCCCCGGCUAACUUCGUG
rnacentral:rRNA from 1 species